GUUCCAGACUCCUACGGGAGGCAGCAGUGGGGAAUAUUGGACAAUGGGGGGAACCCUGAUCCAGCGACGCCGCGUGAGUGAAGAAGUAUUUCGGUAUGUAAAGCUCUAUCAGCAGGGAAGAAAGAAAUGACGGUACCUGACUAAGAAGCCCCGGCUAACUACGUGCCAGCAGCCGCGGUAAUACGUAGGGGGCAAGCGUUAUCCGGAUUUACUGGGUGUAAAGGGAGCGUAGACGGCGAUGCAAGUCUGAAGUGAAAGCCCGGGGCCCAACCCCGGGACUGCUCUGGAAACUGCGUCGCUGGAGUACGGGAGGGGCAGGCGGAAUUCCUGGUGUAGCGGUGAAAUGCGUAGAUAUCAGGAGGAACACCGGUGGCGAAGGCGGCUUACUGGACAGUGACUGACGUUGAGGCUCGAAAGCGUGGGGAGCGAACAGGAUUAGAUACCCUCGUAG
rnacentral:rRNA from 1 species